CUAUACAUGCAGUCGAGCGGACAGAAGGGAGCUUGCUCCCGGAUGUUAGCGGCGGACGGGUGAGUAACACGUGGGUAACCUGCCUGUAAGACUGGGAUAACUCCGGGAAACCGGAGCUAAUACCGGAUAGUUCCUUGAACCGCAUGGUUCAAGGAUGAAAGACGGUUUCGGCUGUCACUUACAGAUGGACCCGCGGCGCAUUAGCUAGUUGGUGAGGUAACGGCUCACCAAGGCGACGAUGCGUAGCCGACCUGAGAGGGUGAUCGGCCACACUGGGACUGAGACACGGCCCAGACUCCUACGGGAGGCAGCAGUAGGGAAUCUUCCGCAAUGGACGAAAGUCUGACGGAGCAACGCCGCGUGAGUGAUGAAGGUUUUCGGAUCGUAAAGCUCUGUUGUUAGGGAAGAACAAGUGCAAGAGUAACUGCUUGCACCUUGACGGUACCUAACCAGAAAGCCACGGCUAACUACGUGCCAGCAGCCGCGGUAAUACGUAGGUGGCAAGCGUUGUCCGGAAUUAUUGGGCGUAAAGGGCUCGCAGGCGGUUUCUUAAGUCUGAUGUGAAAGCCCCCGGCUCAACCGGGGAGGGUCAUUGGAAACUGGGAAACUUGAGUGCAGAAGAGGAGAGUGGAAUUCCACGUGUAGCGGUGAAAUGCGUAGAGAUGUGGAGGAACACCAGUGGCGGAAGGCGACUCUCUGGUCUGUAAACUGACGCUGAAGGAGCGAAAAGCGUGGGGGAGC
rnacentral:rRNA from 1 species